GACGAACGCUGGCGGCGUGCCUAAUACAUGCAAGUAGAACGCUGAAGGAGGAGCUUGCUCUUCUGGAUGAGUUGCGAACGGGUGAGUAACGCGUAGGUAACCUGCCUUGUAGCGGGGGAUAACUAUUGGAAACGAUAGCUAAUACCGCAUAACAGUAGAUGUUGCAUGACAUUUGCUUAAAAGUUGCAAUUGCAUCACUACCAGAUGGACCUGCGUUGUAUUAGCUAGUUGGUGGGGUAACGGCGCACCAAGGCGACGAUACAUCGCCGACCUGAGAGGGGGAGCGGCCACACUGGGAGUGAGACACGGCACAGACUCCUACGGGAGGCAGCAGGAGGGAAACGUCGGCAAUGGACGGAAGUCUGACCGAGAAACGCCGAGUGAGUGAAGAAGGGUGUCGGAUCGGAAAGCUCUGUUGUCAGAGAAGAACGAGUGUGAGAGUGGAAAGUUCACAGUGUGACGGUAGCUGACCAGAAAGGGACGGCUAACUACGUG
rnacentral:rRNA from 1 species